AGUGGACGCUGGCGGUAGGCCUAACACAUGCAAGUCGAACGGCAGCACAGUAAGAGCUUGCUCUUACGGGUGGCGAGUGGCGGACGGGUGAGGAAUACAUCGGAAUCUACUUUUUCGUGGGGGAUAACGUAGGGAAACUUACGCUAAUACCGCAUACGACCUACGGGUGAAAGCAGGGGAUCUUCGGACCUUGCGCGAUUGAAUGAGCCGAUGUCGGAUUAGCUAGUUGGCGGGGCAAAGGCCCACCAAGGCGACGAUCCGUAGCUGGUCUGAGAGGAUGAUCAGCCACACUGGAACUGAGACACGGUCCAGACUCCUACGGGAGGCAGCAGUGGGGAAUAUUGGACAAUGGGCGCAAGCCUGAUCCAGCCAUACCGCGUGGGUGAAGAAGGCCUUCGGGUUGUAAAGCCCUUUUGUUGGGAAAGAAAAGCAGCAGGUUAAUACCCCGCUGUUCUGACGGUACCCAAAGAAUAAGCACCGGCUAACUUCGUG
rnacentral:rRNA from 1 species